rnacentral:rRNA from 1 species
AGUGAACGCUGGCGGUAGGCCUAACACAUGCAAGUCGAACGGCAGCACAGGAGAGCUUGCUCUCUGGGUGGCGAGUGGCGGACGGGUGAGGAAUACAUCGGAAUCUACUCUGUCGUGAGGGAUAACGUAGGGAAACUUACGCUAAUACCGCAUACGACCUACGGGUGAAAGCAGGGGACCUUCGGGCCUUGCGCGAUUGAAUGAGCCGAUGUCGGAUUAGCUAGUUGGCGGGGUAAAGGCCCACCAAGGCGACGAUCCGUAGCUGGUCUGAGAGGAUGAUCAGCCACACUGGAACUGAGACACGGUCCAGACUCCUACGGGAGGCAGCAGUGGGGAAUAUUGGACAAUGGGCGCAAGCCUGAUCCAGCCAUACCGCGUGGGUAAGAAGGCCUUCGGGUUGUAAAGCCCUUUUGUUGGGAAAGAAAUCAGCUGGCUAAUACCCGGUUGGGAUGACGGUACCCAAAGAAUAAGCACCGGCUAACUUCGUGCCAGCCGCCGCCGUAA